rnacentral:rRNA from 1 species
UCAGGCCUAACACAUGCAAGUCGAGCGAUAUAGCGGCGGACGGGUUAGUAACGCGUGGGAACGUGCCCUUUACUACGGAAUAGCCUCUGGAAACGGAGAGUAAUACCGUAUGUGCCCUUCGGGGGAAAGAUUUAUCGGUAAAGGAUCGGCCCGCGUUAGAUUAGGUAGUUGGUGGGGUAAUGGCCUACCAAGCCUACGAUCUAUAGCUGGUUUGAGAGGAUGAUCAGCAACACUGGGACUGAGACACGGCCCAGACUCCUACGGGAGGCAGCAGUGGGGAAUCUUCGGCAAUGGGCGCAAGCCUGACCGAGCCAUGCCGCGUGAGCGAUGAAGGCCUUAGGGUUGUAAAGCUCUUUCGCCAGGGAUGAUAAUGACAGUACCUGGUAAAGAAACCCCGGCUAACUCCGUGCCAGCAGCCGCGGUAAUACGGAGGGGGUUAGCGUUGCUCGGAAUUACUAGGCGUAAAGCGCGCGUAGGCGGAUUGGAAAGUUAGAGGUGAAAUCCCAGGGCUCAACCCUGGAACUGCCUUUAAAACUCCCAGUCUUGAGUUCGAGAGAGGUGAGUGGAAUUCCGAGUGUAGAGGUGAAAUUCGUAGAUAUUCGGAGGAACACCAGUGGCGAAGGCGGCUCACUGGCUCGAUACUGACGCUGAGGUGCGAAAGCGUGGGGGAGCAAACAGGAUUAGAUACCCUGUAGUCCAC